rnacentral:rRNA from 1 species
UACGUAGGGUGCGAGCGUUGUCCGGAAUUAUUGGGCGUAAAGGGCUCGUAGGCGGUUUGUCGCGUCGGGAGUGAAAUCCACUGGCUUAACUGGUGGCUUGCUUUCGAUACGGGCAGACUGGAGGUAUGCAGGGGAGAACGGAAUUCCUGGUGUAGCGGUGAAAUGCGCAGAUAUCAGGAGGAACACCGGUGGCGAAGGCGGUUCUCUGGGACGGUACUGACGCUGAGACGCGAAAGCGUGGGGAGCGAACAGG